rnacentral:ncRNA from 1 species
CCUGGGCCACACACACGCUACAAUGGGUGGUACAGCAGGUUGCAAUGGAGCGAUCCGGAGCCAAUCCUCAAAACCACCCCCAGUUCGGAUUGCAGGCUGCAAUUCGCCUGCAUGAAGUUGGAGUUGCUAGUAACCGCGUAUCAGCUUGGCGCGGUGAAUACGUUCUCGGGCAUUGUACACACCGCCCGUCACGUCAUGAAAGUCGGCAACACCUGAAGCCGAUGUGCUAACCCUUCGGGGAGGCAGUUGUCUAGGGUGGGGUCGGUGAUUGGGACGAAGUCGUAACAAGGUAGCCGUAGCGGAAGCUGCGGCUGGAUCACCUCCUUU